UCGCUUGUUGGUGAGGUAAUGGCUCACCAAGGCGACGACGGGUAGCCGGCCUGAGAGGGCGACCGGCCACACUGGGACUGAGACACGGCCCAGACUCCUACGGGAGGCAGCAGUGGGGAAUAUUGCACAAUGGGCGAAAGCCUGAUGCAGCGACGCCGCGUGAGGGAUGACGGCCUUCGGGUUGUAAACCUCUUUCAGCAGGGAAGAAGCGAAAGUGACGGUACCUGCAGAAGAAGCGCCGGCUAACUACGUGCCAGCAGCCGCGGUAAUACGUAGGGCGCAAGCGUUGUCCGGAAUUAUUGGGCGUAAAGAGCUCGUAGGCGGUCUGUCGCGUCGGAUGUGAAAGCCCGGGGCUUAACCCCGGGUCUGCAUUCGAUACGGGCAGACUAGAGUGUGGUAGGGGAGAUCGGAAUUCCUGGUGUAGCGGUGAAAUGCGCAGAUAUCAGGAGGAACACCGGUGGCGAAGGCGGAUCUCUGGGCCAUUACUGACGCUGAGGAGCCAAAGCGUGGGGACGAACAGGAUUAGAUACCCUGGUAGUCC
rnacentral:rRNA from 1 species